rnacentral:rRNA from 1 species
UUGCCCUACGGGGGGCAGCAGUGGGGGAUAUUGGACAAUGGGGGAAACCCUGAUCCAGCGACGCCGCGUGAGUGAAGAAGUAUUUCGGUAUGUAAAGCUCUGUCAGCAGGGAAGAAAGAAAUGACGGUACCUGACCAAGAAGCCCCGGAUAACUACGUGCCAGCAGCCGCGGGAAUACGUAGGGGGCAAGCGUUAUCCGGAAUUACUGGGGGUAAAGGGAGCGUAGAGGGUGAUGCAAGAGUGGAGAG